GGGGAUGAUCGGCCUAGACAGGCGAUUUCAUCUGGUUGGUGCUAUGCCGAGAAUGCUCGAGAUCUCGUUAAACCUCGAGCAACCAAGUACGUGCAAAAAACACACUUGCAAAAGCAAAGGCUAUCGUAUCACCAUACUAUGGUGCUAACGCCUUUACUCCUGCUUACGCUUUCGUAGCCUAAACAGCAUCCGCGCUUCGUACGCCCUCUAGGUAGUCGCGGGUGAUAUAAAAUGAGGGCUCAUCAUCUUGAAUGACUCUACGAGGUGAAAAAACACAGAGUAUCGAUACUGUAUAAUUUAGAAUACUUUUUAUAUACACUAUUUAAAUCCCAAAGAAGUCUUCUACGCAUAGUAGACUCCUCCCAGAACAUCGUCUGCACGGGGGUUCGAUUCCCCCCAUCUCCACAU
rnacentral:tmRNA from 1 species